rnacentral:rRNA from 1 species
ACAGCAGCCGCCGCGGUAAUACAGAGGGUGCAAGCGUUAAUCGGAAUUACUGGGCGUAAAGCGCGCGUAGGUGGUUUGUUAAGUCCGUUGUGAAAGCCCUGGGCUCAACCUGGGAAUUGCAGUGGAUACUGGGUCACUAGAGUGUGGUAGAGGAUAGUGGAAUCUCCGGUGUAGCAGUGAAAUGCGUAGAGAUCGGAAGGAACAUCUGUGGCGAAGGCGACUAUCUGGGCCAACACUGACACUGAAGCACGAAAGCGUGGGGAGCAAACAGGAUUAGAUACCCCCGUAGUCCCUGUCUCUUAUAC